UUGAAGAGAUGAGUGCGGGGCUCAUCUAUCCCUGGAAUUGUCUUUCCCACAAUCCCUGACACAGAAUAUGAGCCAUACAGGAAUUCUGAAGAAAUGGGUCUCUUGCCACCUCCCAGUAAAAGAUUAUUUUUUAAAAAAAAAAGGCUCUGCUUUGACCUGAAGUAUUUUAUCUAUCCUCAGUCUCAGGACACUGUUGAUGGAAUUAAGGCCAAGCACAUCUGCAAAAAAGACAUUGCUGGAGGAGGUGCAAAGAGCUGGAAACCAAGUCUCCAGUCCUGGGAAAAGCAGUGGUAUGGAAAAGCAAUGGAAAGAGCAUUUUGAAAAUGCCAUUCCACUGUUUUCUGGCCUUUAUGAUUUCUGCUGAGAAAUCCACUGUUAGUCUGAUGGGGUCUCCUUCAUAGCACCAAUGACCUGAAGAGCCUUGUUGAAGGAAGACUCCAUCUGAUGACUCAGAGCAAGUAUUUUUUAGUGUGUUAUUGUUAUUAGCAGAAAGAGGGCCAUAAAAUACAUGGGGCAAGCUGAAUAUAUCUUAGGCAAAAGAAGAAAAUAUUCAAAUUCUUAUGUUAUUUUAUCUAAUUAUUUUAUCUCUUUUUGUGUGUGACUUAUAAUGUGUGUAUUGUAUUAAUAAAAGUAUAUAAACAUGUAGUUUACAAAAAAAAAAAAAAA
rnacentral:lncRNA from 1 species